CCUGAGUCGACCACAGGUCCAGGUUCCUCUCUUCGAGGCCUCUAUUCAGCUGGCCAUUCCGAACAUCGUCCUCAAGCCCAGUCUAGAGGACAUCCAGAGUACUGUCAACAAAGUUGUGAGCAUUGUGCUGUCUAUGGCUACAGACAUCCCACUAUGGACAUUUUCCCAUCUACAUCACAAGCAGCUUCAGGCAGAGCAGGCUGCAGUCAGGGACGCUGGGGACGACGGCCCCCUGACCAAACAGCUGGUCCUCAAGCCCCUGGACCGGCAGCUGGCCGAGCACAAGGACGUCACCAAGGCCGUCAUCCAGCUGGGUUCCAUCGUGUCCUCCCUCAGGACCGAGG